rnacentral:lncRNA from 1 species
AUAUUGUUAAAAUGGCCACAGUGCUCAAAGUAAUUUAUAGAUUCAAUGCAAUCCCUAUUAAAAUUCAAAUUACAUUCUUUAUAGAAAUAGAAAAGACAAUCCUAAAAUUCACAUGGACUCACAAAAGGCCCGAAGUAGCCAAAGCAAUCUUGAACAAGAAGACAAAAGCUGGAGGCAUCACACUUCCUAAUUUUAAAAAUAUAUUACAAAGCUACAGUAAUCAAAACAGUAUGCUACUAGCAUAAAAACAGAUAUAUAGACCAAUGGGAUGGAUUAGAGAGCUCAGAAGUAAACCCAUGUAUAUAUGGUCAACCAACUGGGAAGGUGCCAAAAGCACAUAAUAGGAAAAAGAUAGUUUCUUCAAUAAAUGGUGUUGGGAAAAACUGAAUAUGCAAAUGCAGAAAAAUGAAAAAAUAAAAUUACACCUUCAUCUCACACUAUAUGCAAAAAUCAACUCAAAAUGGAACACAGACUUGUAUUUAAAACCUGCAAAUAUAAAGCUACUAAAAGAAAACAUGCAUAUGAGCUUCUUGACAUUGGUCUGGGCAAUAAUUUUUUGAAUAUGACAUCAAAAGCACAAGUAAAAAAAAGCAAAAAUAAAGUGGAAUUAUAUCAAACUAAAAAGCUUCUGCACUAGCAAAAGAAACAAUCAUCAGAGUGAAACGCAACCUAUGAAUUGAGAUAAAGUAUCUACAAAUCAUAUAUCUGAUAAGAAUUAAUAUCCAAAAUGCAUAAGGAUGUCAUACAACUCAAUACGAAAAUGACAAAUAAUCUGAUUUUUUAAUGGUCAAAGGAUCUGAAUAGACAUAUUUCCAAAAAGACAUACAAAUGCAAAAAAAACCAGGUUUAUGCAAAGUGCCUAAUAUCACUAAUCAUCAGGGAAAUGCAAAUCAAAAUCACAGUGAAAUAUUACCUCGCACCUGUCGAGAUGGCUGUUAUCAAAAAGACAAAAGAUAACAAAUGUUGGCAAGAAUGUGGAGAAAAGGGAACCCCUGUAAACUGUUUGUGGGAAUGAUAGUUGGUACAGUGACUGUGGAAAACAGUGUGGAAGUUCUUCAAAAAAUUGAAGAUGGAACUACCUUAUGAUUCAGUAAUCCCAACUCUGAGAAUACAUUUAUCUCUCCAAAGGAAAUGAAAUCAGAUUGUCAAAGAGAUACCUAUAUUUCUAUGUUCAUUGCAGCGUUAUACACAAUAGCCAAUAUAUGGACAAAAUGUAAAUGUUGACAAAUGAAUGGACAAAGAAAACAUGAUGUGUGUGUGUAUGUGUGUGUGUUGUAUGUGUGUGGGUGCAUGUGUAUACAGGCAGAGAUAGGAUAUUUUUUAACCUUAAAAAAAAUCCUGUCAUUUGUACGAAAAUGGAUGAACCUAGAGCAGAUUAUGCUCAGUGAAAUAAGCCAGAUAUAGAAAGGCAAAUACUGCAUUGUUACAUUUAUACAUUAAACCUAAAAUGGUCGCUGUCAUAGAAGUAGGGAGUAGAAUGGUGGUUGCCAGAGGCUGGCAAAAGGGGAAAAUUGGUAGAUGUUGGUUAAAGGGUACAAAGUUUCAGAAUUGCAGACAAAUAAGUUCUGUAGAGCUAAUGUAUAGCAUGCUGACAACAGAUAACAAUUCUGUAUUGCAUGCUUGAAAUCUGCCAAGUGGGUAGAUCUGGUGUUCUCAUUACACAUGAAAUAAAUAGAGGAGGAGAAGGAAGGAGAAGGAAACAGAAAGGAGGAAAUGACUUGGGGCAGGUGAUGGAUGUGUUAAUUAGCAUGAUUGUGGUGAUUAGCUCACAAUGUGUAUGUAUAUUAAAACAUCAAGUUGAAUACCUUAAAUAUAUACAACAUUUAUUUGUCAGUUAUACCUCAGUAAAGUCAAAAAGUCAAUAGGCUACAAAAAUUCCAGAGUCAUUAUUUUUAAAAUUAAAUUUACAAUGUUUUAUCAAUCAAUACAUGAAUACAUCUUAAUUUUAUGUCACUGUAACUAGUACUAUUCUAGGCAGUAAUAAAAAUAGUAUUCUAGUACUAUUCUAGGAGUAACAAAAAUAUAAUAGAAAACAAAGAAGAUGAAUGUAACACUUGGGAAAUGAGCAGACUU